rnacentral:rRNA from 1 species
UACGUAGGGUGCAAGCGUUGUCCGGAAUUAUUGGGCGUAAAGAGCUCGUAGGCGGUUUGUUGCGUCGGCUGUGAAAUCCCGAGGCUCAACCUCGGGUCUGCAGUCGAUACGAGCAAACUAGAGUGUUGCAGGGGAGACUGGAAUUCCUGGUGUAGCGGUGAAAUGCGCAGAUAUCAGGAGGAACACCGGUGGCGAAGGCGGGUCUCUGGGCAACAACUGACGCUGGAG